rnacentral:rRNA from 1 species
CACGUAGGGGACGAGCGUUGUCCGGAUUCAUUGGGCGUAAAGCGCGCGUAGGCGGCUCGGAAAGUCGGGCGUGAAAUGCCGGGCUCAACCCGGGACUGCGUCCGAUACUUCCGAAGCUGGAGGUAGGUAGGGAGAUCGGAAUUCCUGGUGUAAGCGGUGAAAUGCGCAGGAUAUCAGGAGGAACACCGGUGGCGAAGGCAGGAUCUCUGGCCUUACCUGACGCUGAGGCGCGAAGCUAGGGAGCGAACAGG